AUCUGCCUCAUCCUGGGUCCAGAAAAAACAGUCAGUUAACCAUGGAAUGAGCCCCUAAAACCGUGCUGUUAUCAGGACCAGGUUGUCAAAAGCCAUUGAUGCUCAAAUACCAUCAAAUGGGGACCUCACACAGGAUCCAGGAAGGAGAUAGCUAAUCAACUUUAUGCUAAUACAUCACAGCGAAGGAUAGAUAUGUGCACCAGGAGAGCUCCAAGGAGAGUCACCCAACCCAACCAUGGCCUUUAGGAUUCUUCUUAAAAGAAAUGGAUCAUAAGUUGUGUGCAAGCUCCCAAGGGAGAAAAGAUGAAAUUGGGUGAAGAGACUCAGAGGACAUUAAAAUUCGAUGCCAAGCUGGAGAAAUGUCUCAGCAGUUAAGAGUAUCUGCUGCUCUUCCAGAAGACCUGUGUUCAGUUUCCAGCUCCCAGUGCAGUUGCACAUGCAAGGCUUAUACUCUCACGGACACACAUGCACAUGAGUGAAAAUAAAAUAAAUUAUAAAAAUCGAAACAGUAAACCUGAUCCCAACGACCCCA